CGAUAGAGGCGCGGACAUUAUCAGUAGUUCCCAGAAGCGGGGCGGAAAACCCGGGAAGGAAAGGAAUGUCUGCCGAAGGGGUCUUGAUGCUUUCCGGCAUGGGGCUGCCUGGGACGUCGGAGAACAUCCGCCGUACUGCUGUAUAGGGCAUAUGCAGAGAGCUAUCAU
rnacentral:ncRNA from 1 species